AUUUGACUUUAAGCACGCAUUAAAACGCUAAAUGAAAUUUAAAAUUAAUAAAAAAAAAAACAAAUAUAUAACGUAAAACAUAAAAAAAGUGAUAGAAAACCUCCCCUCACUCAAUCAAAUUAACGUCCACAACAAUAUAUAAAAAUCAAAAAGAAAUUUUGCCUUCCAGAAACUUCUUGAUAAUAAAUUGCAAAAUUCUUUUUUUUGAAUGGAAACAUUGUAUACAAUAAUACUCUUACUAUAUGAGUUACAUUUUAGUUGUAUGGUUAUAUAUGAGUCCAGUUUGUGUAGCCAUAAGACAUUUGGUAAUUACUCUUAUCAAUAUAGUACAUGUGCUUAUCAACAACAAUAUAAAACAGAGAAGAACAAACAGCAGCAACAUCAGCAACCACAACAGCAUCAAUCAGAAAAUCAUCAUCAAAACUACAUUCAACAAUUGCAUUAUUAUCUAUACAAACAACAACAGCAACAAAAAUAUCAUCAAAUAAUACCAUUAUUAUUGCUAAUGAUUGGUGAGCUGUUGAAGGAACUAAUAACAAUUGUUGUCGAUGUAUUUAUGUUUGCAAAAAAAAAAAAAUUUAUUAAGCUGGUCUCUUCCUACACGUUUUAUUUUAUUUUUUUUAAUUUUUUAUUAAAUUGAAUUAUUUGCAGCAAUAAAAAAAUAACAAUAACACUAAAUUUAAGCUUUUUCUUAUUAAGCGAUUUUUUUCAAAUGCCGUUUGGCAACAUCAUAAUAAAUGAAAGGAUGUUGAGGUUAUGUCACAACAUGUUUCAAAGAGAGAAUAGUGCUGCCACACUUGUUACAACUUUAUUUAUGCAAAGACAACAUAAAAAAUAACAGGAAAAUGUUGACAACUAUAAUGCAAAAUGUUGCUUAAGCAGUUUUAGGGAAAGCAACAUGUUUAAAAACAAAAUA